ensembl:lncRNA
CCAUUUUUAAUCGUAUAAAUACUGGGAACUAUAUUCUCACUAGGCGUAGGAGCACAGCGAACGUUACUUGGGCGGAGUGGCUACUUGGGCGGAGUGAUUAGCGCAGCACCCGAGACGCCCUGUUGACGAGACAGGGGUAACUGCAGCCUGGAGCAAUGGGCGUGCCGAAACGUAGGGGCGUGCCAAAAGGUUUCUCAUUGGUGAAAGGAGUUUUACUGUGUUGGCCAAUCAGCGGUUAAUAUACAUUUACGUAAUUUCCUUAGACAAGAGAAGGUGGCGGCGAUAAGACGUGAGGUAAUUAUACAUCAUACGUUUAUCUAUGCUAUAUAUACCACAAAUAUGUAUAUUAAGGUAGCUUGUUACAAUACGAUCAUAAUUUUGCCUUUGCGUUACAUCUUGCAGCUUUAGUAAUUGGUUUAUUGUUGUUGACAGACAUACUGGAUGUACAGUGAGACAAAACGAUGUCUGCAUCUGCAUCGAAGCUCUCAGAGUUGAUAGUUUAUAUCUGCGUCCUUUUUGUGCAAUACAGUACAGAAUACAUCCUGUAAGAAUAAUAAUUAUUACCACCUUUGCUAUUACAACUGAACUAAAGAUCAAUUUACAAUCUAUGAAGACGAUUAGACAAAAUCAAAAAACUAAUUUAGAGAUCUGCAUCUGCAUCGAAGCUCUCAGAGUUGAUAGUUUAUAUCUGCGUCCUUUUUGUGCAAUACAGUACAGAAUACAUCCUGUAAUAAUUAUAAUUAUUACCACCUUUGCUAUUACAACUGAACUAAAGAUCAAUUUACAAUCUAUGAAGACGAUUAGACAAAAUCAAAAAACUAAUUUAGAGUUUGUUUCUACCUUUCUGCUAGGUGUCCAACUAAUGCAGAGUAUAUUCAAGUUGCCAACACACUGAUUGUGAAGUACCCUUUCCAGAGAAAUAUAGAAGGAAAUUACUGUGAAACUUGUGUUGGGGAGGAUUCAGUGUCUGUUGAGGUCCAUGUGAAUGUGCUACAAAGUGAGUAUCAGAAAACACAUCCAGACACCUGGACUGUUAAAGACCACCCGGCAGGAACAUUCUCCUGGAGACGCUGAGAAAGCACGGAAGGAAUGUCUGUGGAAGAUGUACUCAAAAAAACACCCAUACUUAAGGACACCUGCUGGAGGGGACACUGCUACACUCUUUCCUACCACCCACCUCAUCGAUACUGCCUGUAACCUGGCAAUCAUAGGAGGAGCGUUCAGUGUGGAGCCAGAAGAUGGAAUAGAUGUGUGUCAGUGCACCAGCCUUGAUGAAGCCUUCAUAACAGCCUUCUGUGUGUAUUCUGCUUUCAACAUUGCAUAUCCAACACACCUGAGAAAGACACUGACUUUCCUUCGGAGGCACAUUCUCAACAUUAGAAGAUGGAGACAAGCACUGCCAGUAUGGUUGACUGGAAGUCUGUCAGUCCAGAUGUGA